rnacentral:rRNA from 1 species
GACGAACGCUGGCGGCGUGCUUAACACAUGCAAGUCGAACGGUAAGGCCCUUCGGGGUACACGAGUGGCGAACGGGUGAGUAACACGUGGGUGAUCUGCCCUGCACUUCGGGAUAAGCCUGGGAAACUGGGUCUAAUACCGGAUAGGACCCUGGGAUGCAUGUCCUGGGGUGGACAGCUUUUGCGGUGUGGGAUGGGCCCGCGGCCUAUCAGCUUGUUGGUGGGGUGAUGGCCUACCAAGGCGACGACGGGUAGCCGGCCUGGGAGGGUGACCGGCCACACUGGGACUGAGAUACGGCCCAGACUCCUACGGGAGGCAGCAGUGGGGAAUAUUGCACAAUGGGCGCAAGCCUGAUGCCGCGACGCCGCGUGAGGGAUGACGGCCUUCGGGUUGUAAACCUCUUUCAGCACCGACGAAGCGCAAGUGACGGUAGGUGCAGAAGAAGGACCGGCCAACUACGUGCCAGCAGCCGCCGUAA